GCAAACUUGGUCAUUUAGAGGAAGUAAAAGUCGUAACAAGGUCUCCGUUGGUGAACCAGCGGAGGGAUCAUUAGCGAGUAUAACUCUCUAAAACCAUUGUGAACGAACGAACCCGUUGCUUCGGCGGACAGCUCUGCUGCCGCCGGAAGAACGCAAACUCUUGUUAUUAUUGUUUCUCUGAGUACUUAUUCAAUAAGUAAAAACUUUCAACAACGGAUCUCUUGGUUCUGGCAUCGAUGAAGAACGCAGC
rnacentral:misc_RNA from 1 species